UCUGGUUGAUCCUGCCAGUAGCAUAUGCUUGUCUCAAAGAUUAAGCCAUGCAUGUCUAAGUACAAGCCUAAGUAAGGUGAAACCGCGAAUGGCUCAUUAAAUCACACCUAAUCUACUGGAAUGUUAGCAGUUACUUGGAUAACUGAGGUAAUUCUUGAGCUAAUACAUGCGAAAAAUCUCGACUCACGGAGAGAUGCUUUUAUUAGAUCAAAACCAAACGGCUUCGGCUGUUUAAUCUUGAUGACUCUGAAUAACUUUGGGCUGAUUGUAUUGCCUUGUGCAGACAACGUUUCCUUCGAAGGUGUGCCCUAUCAACUGUCGACUGUGAUAUAGACGCUCACAGUGGUUUUGACGGGUAACGGGGAAUCAGGGUUCGAUUCCGGAGAGGGAGCCUUAAAAACGGCUACCACAUCCAAGGAAGGCAGCAGGCACGCAAAUUACCCAAUGGUCGAAGACCGAGGUAGUGACGAAAAAUAACAAUACAAGACUCUUCCGAGGCCUUGUAAUUGGAAUGAGUACACUUUAAAACCGUUCCCGAGGAUCUAUUGGAGGGCAAGUCUGGUGCCAGCAGCCGCGGUAAUUCCAGCUCCAAUAGCGUAUAUUAAAGUUGUUGUGGUUAAAAAGCUCGUAGUUGGAUUUCGGCGGGUAUUGGUCGGUUUGAAUUGCUUCAACACUGACUUUUUUACCCGUGUGUUUUGUCAGAAUUUAACGGGUGAUCUUCGCCGAUUGUCCGUUAGAACUGACAGGUUUACUUUGAAAAAAUUAGAGUGCUCAAAGCAAGCUUGAUUGCUUGAAUAUUCGUGCAUGGAAUAAUAGAAUAGGAAGUCGUUUCUAUUUUGUUGGUUUUCGGAAAUCGACUUAAUGAUUAAUAGGGAUAGUCGGGGGCAUUUGUAUUCAAACGACAGAGGUGAAAUUCUUGGACCGUUUGAAGACAAACUACUGCGAAAGCAUUUGCCAAGAAUGUUUUCAUUAAUCAAGAACGAAAGUUAGAGGUUCGAAGGCGAUUAGAUACCGCCCUAGUUCUAACCAUAAACGAUGCCAGCUAGCGAUCUGCCGGUGUUUGAUUUUCUGACUCGGCAGGCAGCUUCCGGGAAACCAAAGCUUGUGGGUUCCAGGGGAAGUAUGGUUGCAAAGCUGAAACUUAAAGGAAUUGACGGAAGGGCACCACCAG
rnacentral:rRNA from 1 species